GAGCAAACCCUACAAAGAUGUAACACAUUGUGGAUUACAGUACAGUAAUGUAUUACAGUCAUGUAGCACUUCAUUUAUUGAUGCUGCUGUUGUUUCUCCAGCUACGAGACAGGUCCUGCAACAUCGACUCACUUGAAGAGAAAACCUUUGCAAGUCCCAGCUCCAGCAUUGUCUCGCAUUGGUGCUUCUAGUGGAACAGACCGAGAUGAGCAUCUUGAUGUCAUUCCAGAAGCCACAAAAAUUCAGGGCCUUGAACAAAGCUUACAUGACAUGAGCAUUGUUGAGGAGGACUUGGAGGAAAAUGUUUUCAGUGACCCAAUGAACACAUAAAGCUACUCCCUUGAAAGAGAUGAUGGACAGAAUGGUUUCAGCUCUGAUGAAGAGGAUCUUCCACCGAUUUCAAUACAGUGUGUUAUUUGUCAGUCUCAGUUUGCAAUUGUUUUGUGGUGUUUGUUUACUACAGAUUUUUGUGCCUCAGUAGAAUGAGUGGAGCACUGAAGAAAGCACACUAUCGAUGGACUUCCUUGCCUGCACAUGAAGACCCUCCUGAUGAGCCUUCUCCCUGAGAUCAUGACCCUGUUUUCCCAGAACCACAGAAGGUCCUUUGUGAAGAUGACAUCAUAGGUGUCAGAGCCUCCAGAGUGUACGAGAACUGCUUAAGACAACUGGCUACAUUUCUGAUCCUGCCUGUGGAUAAAUGCACUGGCCUUCUGAGGACUGGUGGUGGUUCUCCUCUGUGACUUUUAGAUCUGUCCUAAUGGACACAGCUUGUGGAGGUGGAAUUCCCAGCCUGUGAUGAAGUUUGGGAUGCAAGCUGGAGAUUUUCUCUUGUCCACCAACAUUUUGUUGUCUGGCAACAACUACGCAAAGGUUGCCCUCUUGUUCAAAUUCAUGAACAUGGGGAUGGUGAACAGGAAGACUUUCUUCUCCAUUCAGGACAUUUACUGCGUCAAUACAAUAAAGGACUUCUGGGAAGAGAGAAGGACAGAGGUUCUUUGUGGCCUUCAAGGGAAAGAUGUUGUUGUCCUAGGCAGCAAAGAUAAAAGGAGAGUCGAUCCUCUUCAACUGGCUGAAGAACAUAGUCAACCAUUUUCGGUGGUGUUGCAAGACUGCCGACACACGUGGGCAGUUUCUUGCAUUAUUGGUUGGCAUCCUUCACCAUGUCUGCAACAUUCACACCUGGACUACGGGAAGUUGCAAACACGGGCACCUUGAAUCGGAGCAACUGCGGGGAAAGAUGUGGAUCCAGAGAGACUCCCAGUGCCACAAAGCUUUAGUGGAUCUAGUUCUCAAUAAGAGGUGGCAGAAAGAUGUUCACAAAUAUCUGCGAUUCAGAUCGACUGCAGACCUAGAGUCAUUCCAGAAUCAUAUCCUGAUGUAUCACAGCAAGCGCUUUGCUUUCAGCCCCCCAGUUUAUGAGGCACGAGUUCUGCUUGCUGCUUUGGACUACAAUUUCCACCAGAACCGACCAACAAUGAAAACGUUGGACGGCAAAGAGACUUUCAAAAGAUUGCAUAAGAAGAACGCUCGAAGAUACAGCGUAUAUGCCUUGAAAUCUGAAAAAACCUACGGAUACAUUUCCUAGUUGCAAAGAAGGAUUGUGAAGAACAGACUCACAAGUGGAGUGGGGAUGCCUAGAAGGAGGAGCCUUCUCCCAGAUGACCCCAGACAGCUUGGUUUGGUGCCCCCUGUACCUGCACCAGCCACAUCAGACUUGUUGCAGAGACAAGUCAGAAGAGGUCUUGGACCGUUAUUCCAACCAGCAUCUGAUGUGGAAGGAUCCCCACAGGAGAUCUGCUUGCAUGUGUCCUGGUACUUGUCAGGCAGGGAAAGAACUUCAGUUCACUGACAAAGUCAUAGCUUUUACUCUUCAAAAAGAGAAAUUUAUUAACAUUAAAUUCUGUUCCUACCCUCCUCCAGUGGUUAUUUCAUGUGUUUCAUCUUAUUCUGCUAAGUCCACUGUGACCAGCGCAUAUUAUUUUUUGUAGGUUUGCAGUUUACAGUUUGAACAGUAAUGAUAAGUAAGGCUACAGCUGUCCCCUAUUAUGUAAAUAUAAAUAACUAAAAUUGGUAUUGAAAAGGUUACGGCAAAGUUUGAAAUUCUAAACACAUGUUCAAAUGUAUAUAAUGAA